GUGGCGAACUGGUGAGUAACACGUGGGGAAUCUGCCCAGAAGCAGGGGAUAACACUUGGAAACAGGUGCUAAUACCGUAUAACAACAAAAUCCGCAUGGAUUUUGUUUGAAAGGUGGCUUCGGCUAUCACUUCUGGAUGAUCCCGCGGCGUAUUAGUUAGUUGGUGAGGUAAAGGCCCACCAAGACGAUGAUACGUAGCCGACCUGAGAGGGUAAUCGGCCACAUUGGGACUGAGACACGGCCCAAACUCCUACGGGAGGCAGCAGUAGGGAAUCUUCCACAAUGGACGAAAGUCUGAUGGAGCAUGCCG
rnacentral:rRNA from 1 species